CUGAAGACUUAUGCCGAUCGCGCGCCCCUUUGCUCUGCUUACGUAUCUUUCAAAUGUCUGGCUUAUCUGCUUUCUACGGUGGUUUAACUGGCUACCGUGGCAAUUACGGGGAACGGAGAAUAAGGGUACUACUCCGGAGAGGGAGCCUGAGAAACGGCUACCACAUCCACGGAAGGCAGCGAGCGCGCCAAUUACCCACUCCCGGCACUGGGAGGUAGUGACGAAAAAUAACAAGACGGUUCUCUAAGAAGCCCUUCAUCGACAUGGGUACAAUUUAAAUCCUUUAACGAGGAUCUAUUGAAGGGCAAGUCUGGGGCCAGCCUCCGCGCUAAAUCCAGCUCCAUUAGCGUAUAUUAAAGUUGUUGCGGAUAAAAAG
rnacentral:rRNA from 1 species